UACGGAGGAUGCAAGCGUUGUCCGGAUUUACUGGGCGUAAAGGGAGCGUAGGCGGAUUUUUAAGUGAGAUGUGAAAUACCCGGGCUCAACUUGGGUGCUGCAUUUCAAACUGGAAGUCUAGAGUGCAGGAGAGGAGAAUGGAAUUCCUAGUGUAGCGGUGAAAUGCGUAGAGAUUAGGAAGAACACCAGUGGCGAAGGCGAUUCUCUGGACUGUAACUGACGCUGAGGCGCGAAAGCGUGGGGAGCGAACGGG
rnacentral:rRNA from 1 species